AUACGGAGGAUCCGAGCGUUAUCCGGAUUUAUUGGGUUUAAAGGGUGCGCAGGCGGCCAUUUAAGUCAGCGGUUAAAUCGUGGGGCUCAACCCCAUUCUGCCGUUGAUACUGGGUGGCUUGAUUGCGGUCGAGGUUGGCGGAAUUCGUUGUGUAGCGGUGAAAUGCAUAGAUAUGACGAAGAACACCGAUUGCGUAGGCAGCUGACCAGACCGCAAAUGACGCUCAUGCACGAAAGUGCGGGGAUCGAACAGGAUUAGAUACCCUGGUAGUCCGCACAGUAAACGAUGAAUACUUGUUUUCGGCGAUAUAAUGUCGGAGGCAAAGCGAAAGCGAUAAGUAUUCCACCUGGGGAGUACGCCGG
rnacentral:rRNA from 1 species